AGUGAACGCUGGCGGUAGGCCUAACACAUGCAAGUCGAACGGCAGCACAGUAAGAGCUUGCUCUUACGGGUGGCGAGUGGCGGACGGGUGAGGAAUACAUCGGAAUCUACUUUUUCGUGGGGGAUAACGUAGGGAAACUUACGCUAAUACCGCAUACGACCUACGGGUGAAAGCAGGGGAUCUUCGGACCUUGCGCGAUUGAAUGAGCCGAUGUCGGAUUAGCUAGUUGGCGGGGUAAAGGCCCACCAAGGCGACGAUCCGUAGCUGGUCUGAGAGGAUGAUUCGCCAAACCGGAACUGGAACACGGUCCCGGCUCCUACGGGAGGCAGGAGUGGGGAAUAUUGGGCAAUGGGGGGAAGGCUGAAGCAGGCCAUCCGGGUGGGGGAAGGAGGGCUUUGGGUUGGAAAAGCCUUUUUGUUGGGAAGAAAAAGCGGAAGGUUAAUCCCCCGCGUUUUGACGGUAACCAAAGAAAAAGGCACGGCUAACUUCGGG
rnacentral:rRNA from 1 species